rnacentral:lncRNA from 1 species
UUUUAAUUUAAUAUGUUCGUACGGAAAACAAGGAACAUUAUUCUCAUACAAAAAAUUAAGAUAAUUCUAAAUACACAUUCAUAAAAAAAAAUGGAAUUUAUUACAAAGGAUAAUCAUAAGAUAUACUUGAAUUGUCCUGGACCUCACUUCUGUGAUGGGUAUAUGUUAAUGGAAUCCUUCUCUGAAUACGGGACAAACAUAUUAGUAGUGGUAGACCCCAAUGGCCAAUGAUCUUCAAUUUAUACCGAAUAUUGACUGUCAAAAAAAUGCUAACAUUCCAAUUUUCAAUAACAGUUAACAGCAAAUACAUUAUCACAAUAACAGAUAACAAAAAAAACUAAAAGCCCAAUAACAGAUAAUAAAAAAACUAAAAGCCCAAUAACAGCUAACAAAGAACAAGACAAUAACAGCUAACAGCAAAUAUAUUUUCAAAAUAACAGAUAACAAAGAAUUAAAUUGCCCCAUAACAGCAUAACAGUUAAACCCCUUGCCCCCC